UACGGAGGGGGUUAGCGUUGUUCGGAAUUACUGGGCGUAAAGCGCACGUAGGCGGGCUGUUAAGUCGGGGGUGAAAUCCCGGGGCUCAACCCCGGAACUGCCUUCGAUACUGGCAGCCUAGAGGUCGAGAGAGGUGAGUGGAAUUCCGAGUGUAGAGGUGAAAUUCGUAGAUAUUCGGAGGAACACCAGUGGCGAAGGCGGCUCACUGGCUCGAUACUGACGCUGAGGUGCGAAAGCGUGGGGAGCAAAC
rnacentral:rRNA from 1 species